rnacentral:rRNA from 1 species
UACGGAGGGUGCAAGCGUUAUCCGGAUUUACUGGGUUUAAAGGGCGCGUAGGUGGGUAGGUAAGUCAGUGGUGAAAUCUUCGAGCUUAACUCGGAAACUGCCAUUGAUACUAUUUAUCUUGAAUACUCUGGAGGUAAGCGGAAUAUGUCAUGUAGCGGUGAAAUGCUUAGAUAUGACAUAGAACACCAAUUGCGAAGGCAGCUUACUACAUAGUUAUUGACACUGAGGCACGAAAGCGUGGGGAUCAAACAGG